rnacentral:tRNA from 1 species
GGGGUUGUGGCUUAGCGGUAGAGUGCUCACCUAGCAUGUGCGAAGCCCUGGGUACGACCCUCAGCACCACA